UAAAUAGCCUAGGAAUCUGCCUGGGUAGUGGGGGACAACGUUUCGAAAGGAACGCUAAUACCGCAUACGUCCUACGGGAGAAAGUGGGGGAUCUUCGGACCUCACGCUAUCAGAUGAGCCUAGGUCGGAUUAGCUAGUUGGUGAGGUAAAGGCUCACCAAGGCGACGAUCCGUAACUGGUCUGAGAGGAUGAUCAGUCACACUGGAACUGAGACACGGUCCAGACUCCUACGGGAGGCAGCAGUGGGGAAUAUUGGACAAUGGGCGAAAGCCUGAUCCAGCCAUGCCGCGUGUGUGAAGAAGGUCUUCGGAUUGUAAAGCACUUUAAGUUGGGAGGAAGGGCAGUAAGUUAAUACCUUGCUGUUUUGACGUUACCAACAGAAUAAGCACCGGCUAACUUCGUGCCAGCAGCCGCGGUAAUACGAAGGGUGCAAGCGUUAAUCGGAAUUACUGGGCGUAAAGCGCGCGUAGGUGGUUCGUUAAGUUGGAUGUGAAAGCCCCGGGCUCAACCUGGGAACUGCAUCCAAACUGGCGAGCUAGAGUAUGGCAGAGGGUGGUGGAAUUUCCUGUGUAGCGGUGAAAUGCGUAGAUAUAGGAAGGAACACCAGUGGCGAAGGCGACCACCUGGGCUAAUACUGACACUGAGGUGCGAAAGCGUGGGGGAGCAAACAGGAUUAGAUACCCUGGUAGUCCACGCCGUAACGAUGUCGACUAGCCGUUGGGAUCCUUGAGAUCUUAGUGGCGCAGCUACGCAUUAAGUCGACCGCCUGGGGAGUACGGGCGCAAGGUUAAAACUCAAUGAAUUGACGGGGGCCCGCACAAGCGGUGGAGCAUGUGCUUUAAUUCGAAGCACGCGAGAACCUUACCAGGCUUGACAUGCAGAGGACUUUCCAGAGAUGGAUGGUUGCCUUCGGGAACUCUGACACAGGUGCUGCAUGGCUGUCGUCAGCUCGUGUCGUGAGAUGUGGGGUAAGUACCGUACGAGCGCACCCUGUACUAGUUACUAGCACGUUAAGUGGCACUCUAGGAGACUGCGUGACAACGAGGAGUGGGAUGACGUCAGUCAUCAUGACUACGCUGCUACCACGUGCUACAUGUCGUACAGGAUGCAAGCCGGAGUUGAGCUAUCAUAACCGAUCGAUCCGAUCCGAAUCGGCACUCAACUGCGGAGUCGGAUCGCGUGUAUAUCGUGAAUCC
rnacentral:rRNA from 1 species